UACAGAGGGGGCAAGCGUUAUUCGGAAUUAUUGGGCGUAAAGGGCGCGUAGGCGGCUUUUCAAGUGACGGGUGAAAUCCCUCGGCUUAACCGAGGAACUGCCUGUCAGACUGGAAGGCUUGAGACCGGGAGAGGUGAGUGGAAUUCCCAGUGUAGCGGUGAAAUGCGUAGAUAUUGGGAGGAACACCAGUGGCGAAGGCGGCUCACUGGACCGAUACUGACGCUGAGGAGCGAAAGCCAGGGGAGCAAAGCGGG
rnacentral:rRNA from 1 species